rnacentral:lncRNA from 1 species
UGUUGCUGCUUUAUUUAAUUUCAUUACCACUAUCUUAGAAUACAAGAAAAUACUAUAAUGUUCUUGAAAUUAAAAAAAGAAAUAAAUUCAAAUCAUUAGAUGGCAACAAAAUAGGUAAAUGAUAACUCAUCGACGAAACUGCUCAUCAAAGUUUUCUCUGUAAAAAACAAAUACACAUACACAACUGUUUCCAACACACUCCGCAUUCGAACCAUUGAGACAUGAAACUUCUAGACAAUCAGCAUCAUCUAAACAGUUGACU